CUAGUGUCUCCUCUGAGUGGCAUAAGCAAAAAUAAACAAAACUUUCAGCAACGGAUCUCUUGGUUCUGGCAUCGAUGAAGAACGCAGCGAAAUGCGAUAAGUAAUGUGAAUUGCAGAAUUCAGUGAAUCAUCGAAUCUUUGAACGCACAUUGCGCCCGCCAGUAUUCUGGCGGGCAU
rnacentral:rRNA from 1 species